GCGUCAGUGGUGGAACGGUAGACACGCCGCCUUGAGGGGGCGGUGCCUUCACGGGCGUGGAAGUUCAAAUCUUCUCUGGCGCACCA
rnacentral:tRNA from 1 species